rnacentral:ncRNA from 1 species
CAUCCCGGCGCCCCGCGACAUCAAAUGCCUUCAAUCCCGAAGGGGAUUACACCCUUCCCAACCCCCUCCAGCCUCCCGUCACUCACACGGGUGACAUAUCCCAACUGGGCUGGAUUUGCUUGUUGUUGGCGGGCAUAUGCUCGCGGCGACAGCCCCGGGUGCGGACACGGACUCCGGGCGGCGAAACCCGAUACAUGCAUCGGCCCCCGGCCGGGACUGGCAUCCCGAACGAGGGCCUGACCACCAAGGAAGAAGAGACCUUCCCG